GACGUAGGGCGCGAGCGUUGUCCGGAUUUAUUGGGAGUAAAGAGCUCGUAGGCGGCUUGUCGCGUCGACUGUGAAAACUUGGGGCUCAACCCCAAGCUUGCAGUCGAUACGGGCAGGCUAGAGUUCGGUAGGGGAGACUGGAAUUCCUGGUGUAGCGGUGAAAUGCGCAGAUAUCAGGAGGAACAUCAGUGGCGAAAGCGACUUCCUGGACCAGUACCGACGUUCAGGCACGAAAGCGUGGGGAGCAAACAGG
rnacentral:rRNA from 1 species